UACCCCUAGCAAAUCUCAAAAAACCGUCUCAGUUCGGAUUGCACUCUGCAACUCGAGUGCAUGAAGCUGGAAUCGCUAGUAAUCGUGGAUCAGCAUGCCACGGUGAAUACGUUCCCGGGUCUUGUACACACCGCCCGUCACACCAUGGGAAUUGGUUCUACCUGAAGACGGUGCGCUAACCGAAAGGGGGCAGCCGGCCACGGUAGGGUCAGCGACUGGGGUGAAG
rnacentral:rRNA from 1 species